CGAAUGGGGAAACCCAGUGUGACUCGUCACACUAUCAUUAACUGAAUCCAUAGGUUAAUGAGGCGAACCGGGGGAACUGAAACAUCUAAGUACCCCGAGGAAAAGAAAUCAACCGAGAUUCCCCCAGUAGCGGCGAGCGAACGGGGAGGAGCCCAGAGCCUGAAUCAGCAUGUGUGUUAGUGGAAGCGUCUGGAAAGGCGCGCGAUACAGGGUGACAGCCCCGUACACAAAAGCGCAUGUGCUGUGAGCUCGAUGAGUAGGGCGGGACACGUGGUAUCCUGUCUGAAUAUGGGGGGACCAUCCUCCAAGGCUAAAUACUCCUGACUGACCGAUAGUGAACCAGUACCGUGAGGGAAAGGCGAAAAGAACCCCGGCGAGGGGAGUGAAAAAGAACCUGAAACCGUGUACGUACAAGCAGUGGGAGCACCCUUUGGGGUGUGACUGCGUACCUUUUGUAUAAUGGGUCAGCGACUUAU
rnacentral:rRNA from 1 species